rnacentral:rRNA from 1 species
UUGCAUCUACCAAUUGGAUGGUCUGGUGAAGCCUUGGGAUUGUGGUCAGGUUCCUUCAUUGGGACCUGACCGUGAGAACUUGUCUAAACCUGGUGAAGUCGUAACAAGGUU